rnacentral:rRNA from 1 species
UAAGCCUGUGAAGGUGGCCUGUGAGGGUUGCUGGAGGUAUCAGAAGUGCGAAUGCUGACAUAAGUAACGAUAAAGCGGGUGAAAAGCCCGCUCGCCGGAAGACCAAGGGUUCCUGUCCAACGUUAAUCGGGGCAGGGUGAGUCGACCCCUAAGGCGAGGCCGAAAGGCGUAGUCGAUGGGAAACGGGUUAAUAUUCCCGUACUUGGUGUUACUGCGAAGGGGGGACGGAGAAGGCUAUGUUGGCCGGGCGACGGUUGUCCCGGUUUAAGCGUGUAGGCUGGUUUUCCAGGCAAAUCCGGAAAAUCAAGGCUGAGGCGUGAUGACGAGGCACUACGGUGCUGAAGCAACAAAUGCCCUGCUUCCAGGAAAAGCCUCUAAGCAUCAGGUAACAUCAAAUCGUACCCCAAACCGACACAGGUGGUCAGGUAGAGAAUACCAAGGCGCUUGAGAGAACUCGGGUGAAGGAACUAGGCAAAAUGGUGCCGUAACUUCGGGAGAAGGCACGCUGACACGUAGGUGAAGUGAUUUACUCAUGGAGCUGAAGUCAGUCGAAGAUACCAGCUGGCUGCAACUGUUUAUUAAAAACACAGCACUGUGCAAACACGAAAGUGGACGUAUACGGUGUGACGCCUGCCCGGUGCCGGAAGGUUAAUUGAUGGGGUCAGCGCAAGCGAAGCUCCUGAUCGAAGCCCCGGUAAACGGCGGCCGUAACUAUAACGGUCCUAAGGUAGCGAAAUUCCUUGUCGGGUAAGUUCCGACCUGCACGAAUGGCGUAAUGAUGGCCAGGCUGUCUCCACCCGAGACUCAGUGAAAUUGAACUCGCUGUGAAGAUGCAGUGUACCCGCGGCAAGACGGAAAGACCCCGUGAACCUUUACUAUAGCUUGACACUGAACAUUGAGCCUUGAUGUGUAGGAUAGGUGGGAGGCUUUGAAGUGUGGACGCCAGUCUGCAUGGAGCCGACCUUGAAAUACCACCCUUUAAUGUUUGAUGUUCUAACGUGGACCCGUAAUCCGGGUUGCGGACAGUGUCUGGUGGGUAGUUUGACUGGGGCGGUCUCCUCCUAAAGAGUAACGGAGGAGCACGAAGGUUGGCUAAUCCUGGUCGGACAUCAGGAGGUUAGUGCAAUGGCAUAAGCCAGCUUGACUGCGAGCGUGACGGCGCGAGCAGGUGCGAAAGCAGGUCAUAGUGAUCCGGUGGUUCUGAAUGGAAGGGCCAUCGCUCAACGGAUAAAAGGUACUCCGGGGAUAACAGGCUGAUACCGCCCAAGAGUUCAUAUCGACGGCGGUGUUUGGCACCUCGAUGUCGGCUCAUCACAUCCUGGGGCUGAAGUAGGUCCCAAGGGUAUGGCUGUUCGCCAUUUAAAGUGGUACGCGAGCUGGGUUUAGAACGUCGUGAGACAGUUCGGUCCCUAUCUGCCGUGGGCGCUGGAGAACUGAGGGGGGCUGCUCCUAGUACGAGAGGACCGGAGUGGACGCAUCACUGGUGUUCGGGUUGUCAUGCCAAUGGCACUGCCCGGUAGCUAAAUGCGGAAGAGAUAAGUGCUGAAAGCAUCUAAGCACGAAACUUGCCCCGAGAUGAGUUCUCCCUGAGACUUAGAGUCUCCUGAAGGAACGUUGAAGACGACGA